CUGCAAUAUCAAUCCACUGAAGAAAAGAGUGGGACUUUCUUUGUUCCUUGUUCUCAGAAAAUGGGGUUGCACGUGGUCUCCAUACCUCUUAUUAUCAUGAUAUCAUCGGUGCUAACUACAACCAGUCUACAACCCAGAGAAGUGGCAGCUCCGGGCAGUGACUUCACCCUUAGCUGCUCUUUUCCUUCAUCUAAAAACCUGAAUCUCAACCACCUGGUCAUCAACUGGCAGCGUGAAGAAUCCGAGAUGGUCCACAGCUAUUACCAUGGGAGAGGUCAGCUAGAAAGACAGAGUGUUGUUUACAAGGGACUCAUCUGUUUGAAGACCAGCUCGCUGUGGGAAAUGCCUCACUUACACUGAGUGGUGUGCAGCCGAGUGACCAGGGUCAAUACACCUGUGAUGUGACAGAUGAACAGGCUAGCACCCAGGAAAAGCUGCUAGUUUUAGUUGCAGGUAAGUUCCAUUGUUGCUGCGUGUUUCUUUUGGUGAACAAUUUUAUUUAUUUAUUCUUUAUAUAUUUUUUUGUAUUUCACCCCCUUUUUCUCCCCAAUUCCGAUCUUGUCUCAUUGCUGCAACUCCCUAAUGGGCUUGGGAGGCAAAAGUCAAGUCAUGCGUCCCCCGAAACAUGACCCACCACACCUUGCUUCUUAACACCCGCCCUGACGGGUGUUCACCUGACGACCGAGGUCAGCCUGCAGGCUCCUGGUCCGCCACAAGGAGUUGCAAGAGCGUAAGAGCCAAGUAAUGUCCCCUUGGCUCUAAACAUAUCCAGGUGUUAGAAUGGCCAAGUCAAAGUCCAGACCUGAAUCCAAUCGAGAAUCUGUGGAAAAGAACUGAAAACUGCUGUUCACAAAUGCUCUCCAUCCAACCUCACUGAGCUCGAGCUGUUUUGCAAGGAGGAAUGGGAAAAAAUGUCAGUCUCUCGAUGUGCAAAACUGAUAGAGACAUACCCCAAGCGACUUACAGCUGUAAUCGCAGCAAAAGGUGGCGCUACAAAGUAUUAAUUUAAGGGGGCUGAAUAAUUUUGCACGCCCAAUUUUUCAGUUUUUGAUUUGUUAAAAAAGUUUGAAAUAUCCAAUAAAUGUCCUUCC